AUUGGACGCUGGCGGCAGGCCUAACACAUGCAAGUCGAACGAGUGGCGGACGGGUGAGUAAUGUAUGGGAAACUGCCCGAUGGAGGGGGAUAACUACUGGAAACGGUAGCUAAUAACGCAUACCAUCGGAUGUGCCCAGAUGGGAUUAGCUGGUAGGUGAGGUAACGGCUCACUGAGGCGACGAUCCCUAGCUGGUCUGAGAGGAUGACCAGCCACACUGGAACUGAUACACGGCCAUGAUUCCUACGGGAGGCAGCAGUGGGGAAUAUUGCACAAUGGGCGCAAGCCUGAUGCAGCCAUGCCGCGUGUAUGAAGAAGUCCUUAGGGUUGUAAAGUACUUUCAGCUGGGAGGCGUUACCGGCAGAAGAAGCACCGGCUAACUCCGUGCCAGCAGCCGCGGUAAUUC
rnacentral:rRNA from 1 species